UGAGUAGGCAAAACGAUCGCACCGUUUUUCGGUGAGGAAAGUCCGAGCUCCACAGGGCAAGAGUGCCGGAUAACGUCCGGUGGAGGUGACUCCAAGGAUAGUGCAACAGAAAUAAACCGCCUUACACAAAGUAAGGUAAGGGUGGAAAGGUAGGGUAAGAGCUUACCGCCUCUCUGGUAACAGCGAGGGCAUAUGUAAACCCCACUCGGAGCAAGACCAAAGCAAACCGUAAGCUGCCCGCGAGGUUUAGGUAGGUCGCUAGAUUUUACCGGCAACGGUAAAGCCAGAUAGAUGAUCGUUCACGACAGAACUCGGCUUAUCUGCCUGCUCAUAUU
rnacentral:RNase_P_RNA from 1 species